UACGUAGGGGCAAGCGUUGUCCGGAAUAAUUGGGCGUAAAGGGCGCGUAGGCGGCAAGGCAAGUCAGCAGUGGAAGUCCCAUUUUCAAGGUGGGGAGGGCUGUUGAAACUGCGUUGCUUGAGUGCAGGAGAGGUUAUCGGAAUUCCCGGUGUAGCGGUGAAAUGCGUAGAGAUCGGGAGGAACACCAGUGGCGAAGGCGGGUAACUGGACUGCAACUGACGCUGAGGCGCGAAAGUGUGGGGAGCAAACAGGAUUAGAUACCCCCGUAGUCCCUGAG
rnacentral:rRNA from 1 species